AUUGAACGCUGGCGGCAGGCCUAACACAUGCAAGUCGAACGGAAGAACCGUGCUUGCUUGUGGUUUCAGCGGCGGACGGGUGAGUAAUGCCUGGGAAUCUCCCUGGCUGUGGUUUAUUACGUCCUGAAACGGGUGCUAAUACCGCAUAAUCGCAGAGGCAGAAAGUGGGGGAUCUUCGGACCUUACGCUCUCAGAUGAGUGUAGGUGGGAUUAGCUAGUUGGUGGGGUAAAGGCCUACCAAGGCGACGAUCCGUAACUGGUCUGAGAGGAUGAUCAGUCACACUGGAACUGAGACACGGUCCAGACUCCUACGGGAGGCAGCAGUGGGGAAUAUUGGACAAUGGGCGAAAGCCUGAUACAGCCAUACCGCGUGUGUGAAGAAGGUCUUCGGGUUGUAAAGCCCUUUAAGUGGGGAGGAAGGGCAGUAGGUUAAUACCUUGCUGUUUUGACGUUACCAACAGAAUAAGCACCGGCUAACUUCGUG
rnacentral:rRNA from 1 species